CUGGAGGUGGAGCCGAGCCCAGGGCCGCCUCGCAGGAGGGAAAGUUCGGCGGCGCCGGGCGGGAGCAGCGUAGCCAAGGGAGCCGGCUCCGCUGUCUGCAGGGUUGCUUGGGGUCUCGUUUUCCUCCUGGAAUACAGCGUGUGCAGAUGGAUCAAAGUUACCUACUAUAAAUUGAACAGAGCAUGAGGACCGGACUAAAUAAUGCAUGGAGUGUCUGUGGGUGAAGAGUCAAUUUUAAAGUAUGUGGCUGGUGUUCACAGUUGGAGCCUCCUGCAAGUAGACUUACUGGUUCUGCACAUCUAACCUGAGAUUAAAGAGGACCCUGAAGAUUCAUGGGCUAGCCUGUCUUAAACAAACACCGGUCAGUUUAUAUAGUACGAUGAAUUAUCAGGAGCUCUUGCUCCACACCAGGAAGGACCAGUGCAGCAGCUGUGGCCCAGAGAAGGAAGUAGGCGAAAAGGAAGACACCACAGCCUGCCUGCAUAGACCAGGCAGGGUGAGGAUCCAGCAGAAGCUCCUCCUGCCUUGGUCUUCUUUGACAGUCAGUCGGUCUACACGUUCCACUCUCUUCUUGCUGUAUUCUGUGACGCUGCAACCUUGGGGACUUUCUCGUACCUCCCAGAGGCUGGAGAACGUGCUGCCUUUGAAACCGUUCCUUGCUUCUCAAGAGGAACCCGCUGCCAGCAGUGAAGCCUCUAGUGGUUUUUAUUCUACUCUAAGCACAUGCAGUAAACCAUGCAGGAAGUUCUGUAUGCACACUGGAAUUGGAGGAAAAGUCACAAUUACUACUAACUCAAUGUAUUUUCAUACUUUUUGGACACAGUCAGGUAUCUCUAAAUGACUAAACAUGUUUAUGUUUAUAUUCUUUUUCUGUGAUUCUGAUACCUGUCACUUUUGUCCAUAUGAUUUUGCAAAUUUUUUCUGACUCUUGCUUAUUGCAACUUUUCCACAUAAGUGUUUUAUGGUAUUUUAUUUGAAUGCUUGGUCACAUAAAUAUUAUCUUUGCAAUUUUUAUGUUCAUGUGGUUUAUGUAUAUGUAUGUGCUUAUGUGUAUAUAAUUAUGUUUUCUGAAUGGUAUGUGUGUAUGUUUUUAUGUGCACAUGUAUGAGUGUGUGUGUGUGUGUGUGUGUGUAGCCUAGAGGUCAAGGUCAAACGUCUUCCUCAG
ensembl:lncRNA